AAUGGAGUCUGCGAUCCUCUGCAGCGACAGCUCCUUCAGUGACCUGCAUUUACCAGCACGCAACAAGCGCAUCUCCAUCCAAGGACUCCAGCGUGGGGAUCCAAGCAUCCCAUUUUCGCAAGGUUCGUGGAAUUGCUCGGUAGAAGAAUGCUCAGUCGCCUAAACAAAGCUGGGAAGCUGACUAUGUUCGUAAUUGAAAUAUGCCGCAAUAUACCGUCUCAUAUUCAAAAUAUACCGUUAAUAUACCAAUGAAAAAUCUUAGCCUAUUUAACCCGCUCUAUUUAAACAGGUUAACAAAUUGAAUUAAACCGUUACUGUUUGUUACUAUUUCUUGUAAGUCUCAACUUGCAUAAUAACGUGUGUUUCCUGGUACUGGUGGAUUGAUUCAUCAAUUUUCUACAAGAUAUGCUAAUUUUAAGGACAUUAUUUUAUUGGUUUGUUUUUAAACAUUCCACCUAUCGAUACUAUCGACUGGCUAGAUUAAUAUAUCAUUGAAACUAAAAUUACAGAUUGGAAGGCGGUCACACUGUUUUGACAGAGUGGCCACCCUUUCUCAGUCUAAUCUGAUAACGACGGGUAGAUUUAAAUUCUAAUUCGAAGACAUGUUUUGGUUAAACACUUUUUUGAAGAAUACCCCUUAUAAAAUCGACUCAAAACACACAGAAUAUUGAUUCAUUAAUCGGAUAAACUGUGCAUUCCACAUUCCCUAUUCAGAUUUCGUUGGUUUACUGUGAUUUCUCGUAAAUUAAUUGAUAUCUUCCGCGUGAACGACCCUGCCAAGUGUUGGCUCUGUCCAAUGGGGAAGUAAAACAAAUAAAAUAGACACCGGGUCGUUAUUGAAAUGUAUCUUUUCUUCGCUUUUAUUUGUCUUCGCUUUAUAGUCGUGCUCCUCAGUAUUGAGUUGCGCGCAUGUUGUAAGUUAGACUAGUUUGCUUAGGCUAGAGGGCUUAGCGGACUACAAAUAUUUAACAUUUAACAGGCUAUUUACAAAUCGUCUAUACACAAUUACAAUUAACACUUACUUAGGCACUAUCGGGGGUAGCGCAGAGUUCGAUUAAAAACUACGCUACGUUCGUGAGGUUCUAGAAUUAGGUGACUUACAGCUUAGGCAGAUCUCGAAAAUUGACCCAGUUUCUUAUACAGUUCACAUUACGAAUACAGUUACGACUGCUUACCAGAGGGGCAUUCUCUUCAGCGGACGCAUGACCGGACGGAGAAGAAUAAUUGAAUUCCUCAUACGCCCCGUAAAGAGGUGGCUCUUCUUCUGGCUGUUUGGCUGUCUGGCUGGACUUCCUAACUAUCCGUGUGCGUCUGUCUAUCUGUGCAUUUAUGGCUCUUAAGCUUAAGCUUAGCGUAAGUUAAAACCUUUGUACCAAAACUACUUCCAACGUUUGAUCUGUUGC